CACUGCAAAGUCGAAAUGCAGCUGAGCAGAAACUGUGGGGUGACCACGUUCAUCAAUCUCUUACAAACGUGAUCUUUAACUGGAUGAAACAUCAGGGGCAGCUGUGGUUAAGUGGCAAUAGCACGGGAUGAAAAUUCAGAAAACCUGAUUCAAGCCCUAACUCUCCCACUUACUAGCUGUUUGAUCUUGGUCAAGUCCUCGUUUACCUCAUUUAGGAUCAUGCAGCUGCUGUUGAUGAGACUGAUGACGGCAGCCCACGUUUAUUGAGCCCGUCCUCCAUGCCAGGCACUGCUGCGGGCUUGACAGACUGUACUUCGUCUGCUCCUCCAAAGAGCCCGAUAAGGACACGGACUGACCUUGAACAUCCAGGAUGUCCAUUCCAGGCUGCCUUUGGCUGUGGACAAUUCUGCACGACCAUCUGCGUGUGUGUCAGGAGCCACUGUGGGAUGAGCAGCGUUUCCAGCUGCCCCAAGUGAUGAGAAACAUAUACAAUGUAGCCCAGUGGUUUGCUGAUUUUCCAAGGACUUAACACAAGCCUAUGCAGAAUCAUCUUGGCCCUGAGGAUGGAGGUCUACUCCCAAGCGCUGAGUGAAGAUCCAUGGAAAAGACAUGGGAGAAACCAGGAUAACCAGAGCCCUGGCGAAGUGUACCCUCAUGAUAGAGUGUGCGACAGACUUGCUGACCAGCAACAUUGGGACAACAUAUCUAAAUUGGCAUUCCACAUAGCCCAGCCCACUUUCCCAGCACCUUACUGUUCUGUUCCACAACAAGUGGCUCACCCAGAGGAAAAGGCCCCCAUUAAAAGAUGAGUAAUAAUAAAAAGGAAACAGUCAGCAAUAUUAGCAGAAAAAGAGGAGGCAAGAAAUACAACAAAAAAUGACAAAUGAAACUGCACAUCAGAAGAAAAAUUAUGGCAGAAAGUCAAAGAUUUCUUUAUUGUUAUAUCAGGCAUUAAAAGAUAAACUUUUGGAAACAAUUGUUAAAAAAUAGAUUCAGGGCUUCCCUGGUGGCGCAGUGGUUGAGAAUCUGCCUGCCAAUGCAGGGGACACGGGUUCGAGCCCUGGGCCGGGAAGAUCCCACAUGCCGCGGAGCAACUAGGCCCGUGAGCCACAACUACUGAGCCUGCACGUCUGGAGCCUGUGCUCCACAACAAGAGAGGCCGCAAUAGUGAGAGGCCUGCGCACCGCGAUGAAGAGUGGCCCCCACUUGCCGCAACUAGAGAAAGCCCUCGCACAGAAACGAAGACCCA